AAGGUUAAAUUUUAACAGUUAUAUAUGUAUUGUUAUUUUUUAAGUCAUAAAAGUAAUGAUGUGACUUUGAUAUGUAUCCAAAAAGAAACUUUAAAAGGUGUGCAUAGAUUUCCAAAAAGAAAAUUCUUUUAAUAUAAUAGAAAGGAUAUUGAAAGAUAAUGCUUGUGUAGGGUUUUAAAUCUAAAGAGUCCAAAUAUAUAUGAUUAUGUUUUGUAAAAGACAAUGACAUUGAGUUGAAAAGAAAUGAACUUAAUAUUUAAAGAUCCUUGAUAAUAGGUUUUUGGUCAAUUAUCCUAAAACACCAAUCAUGUCGUUGUAGUAUUUUUGGUUGUCAAUCCAAAUGGGUGUGAUGCUAACAAUCAAGAUGUGAUCAGAAGUCACUAAGUCAAGCCAAACAAUAACAGGUUUUGGUGUGUUUUAGCAGUUCUAAGUGAACAUGCAGAAAACAGAAAAUCAAACAGAAACAGUAAAACACUCGACCAACACAGCUCUUUGCAGAGCAUUGGGUGAGGUCGAGUGACAGGUCGAGUAACAGACAAAAAAUAAAACAGGGAUACUCGACUGCACAGUCUGUUGCCAGACAACUGGGUGGUCGAGUAUCAGGUCGUGUAACAGUAAAGAAAUGUAGAAAUUAAACAACAGAUGACAAGAUGCAGUAAACAACAGUAGAGUAAACAAAGAAUUCAAUCAGAUAAAGAAUUCCCGAGGAUGGGGUAAUCGAGUAGCUUCGUUUUCUAAGUUUACAGGUGAUUGACAUGCUCAAUAAAUUAACCCUAGACAACAAGUUCAUUAACCAAAUCUAAGUGCCACCGCAACAGAGACCCUCAAGUUAACCUAGUCCCAGACUCAAUCACCAUUGACGAGAGCUACCUAACAGGCAUGACGAAUCAACAAGUUAAAGCCAAAACGCUCCCUGCAACCAAUACCUUGGUACAGGGUCACGAAUCUCUGGAAUUAGUGGUUCAGACAUUUCAUCGAAUACCUUUUGGG
rnacentral:sRNA from 1 species